UUUUGCCUUUUCAUUAACAUUUCAAUCAAAAAUAACAUUUGUGAAAAACUUAGUCAAUGAUUAUAACUAAAGUUAAAAAUGUGGACACUGUAAGUUAAUUGACUUUGGCUUCCAAUCUGCAGUUUACAAAGUUGCUUGUUAUAGGAGUAUUCGUGCAAAUGGAUAUCCUGCAAGGAAGACUUCCACUCCAUAGGACAGCAAGAUGCACAUAUCAUCUCUCAUGUGGUUCAAGAGAAAUGCUGUAGAUGGGGAGACUGUACCAAAGUCCUGAGCUUUAAUAGUCUUGAAAUCCAUGAACUUAAACAUCUCUAUGAUAACCAGAACAUAUUUCGGACAUUCGAGGAUUGACUUGCUGUGUUAGAGGAUCAUCAGGUGAUGGAAGAAACCAGGCUUUUUUCGACUCAAUGUUGAUGAAACCUGAUCGACAUGCUCAUCUUGGUUGAGUAAGCCUGGGUUGAGUGUGUCCAAAAAGUAGGUAACCUGGUGAAAUCUUAGGAAAACAUUGUAACCAGAUCCAGGUUUAUUUGACUGACAGACCGAUGGACAGUGGGUCAACCGUAAAUCCCUUCAUGUGAAAACGGUAGGGACAAAAUAAAUAUCACAUUGCUCUUCUGAGUUCAUUUGUAAACCAAGUUUUAUCACAAAAUUAAAAUGGUCAAUGUAUUAUUUUGUGUAUUUAAAAAUUAUGUGAAUAUUAAGUUUCAUGAAAUCUUA